GAUCCAGCUUGUCGAUCGGCAAGGAAUCUUCCCGCACAUCGCUCUGAGUCGAGAUUUGGAAGCAUUGCCGGGCGAGUUGUUGGUCCCUACGCAUUUCUCCAACUCCAUUUUUAGUCGAAAAUCGGACCAGCAGAUGAUACGUCGAGACUAUCGCUCUGAAGGCAUUUAGUCCGGGUCUUCUAAGAAUGGCGUUGUAAGCCGAAGAC
rnacentral:lncRNA from 1 species